rnacentral:tRNA from 1 species
GGCAAGGUGUCCGAGUGGUUAUGGAGCUGCGUUUAGGUACAACUAAACACAUCGAUCCGCAGUGGCGUUGCCUCGAGGGUUCGAAUCCCUCCCUUGUCA